AUGAAUUUUAAAAACAGUGUUGUAUUUAUUACUAAUUUAUUAGUCAAGGCUCAGCCGCCAGAUUCAUGAAGGUCGCUCGAGUCUUAUGACGCCUCAGGCCAUCUUCACGUGCCGAACUUGUGAAAAUAUGUUGUGCUCUGUACAGUUUAGUUGCCUUUGUUACACAAGUAAAGAUAAUUUUUGAAACUGUUUUUGAGGGCAAAAAACAUAUUUCUGAAACAAAGUUCUCAUCGGAAUGAAAAAUCACAGCAGCUGAGUUGGUAUGUCAUGGAUAUGUGUAGGCCUUCCUUGUCUACUCAGUCUAUCUACUUGGAACUUGAUAGUUUUUACGCAUCAGUGACCUCCCUGGUCGCCUAGAAAUAUUAUUUUCAAGAUAGCCCAACAUGGAAUGUAUUGUUUCAUCAUUUACUUAGCCGGUGUGGCGAUUUCUCGAUUUGGCAGCGACGACAAAAUACCAGCAGACGAUUUUAAUAAAAACAGAGUUUGCGCCGUUCUACCCCGGUGAAGUCACAUUUCGCCUUCUCCCCUCCCCUCGUCCCUUAACUGUUAGCAGUUGUCAACGCAACAGCGCCAUUUCAAAACAUGUCUUUCCAUGGCGCUCUUUGAUGUAACUCCAGUGUUAGAAGGUGCAACAAGUCUUCAAGGAAAACUAGAAGAUGCCAUUGCAAAAUCUAAGCUUCUUCUUGAAGCUGUUGAAGGUUCUCAAUCAAAGUACACUGAGUUGAGUGACGAAUAUCCUGUGCUUCGAAGUCUGAAGGGUAGACUAGCUGCAUCACAGGGGCCAAACGAAGCUUUAUCUACAGAACUCGUCAAAUUCAAAUUAGACCUUGAAUCUUUUGUGGAAGAUGUAUUUAAUGCUCACGAUCAAGUAAGGAAGGAUUUUCAACUUUGGGCAAACGAGCUUGAAAGAGAUAAUGCAAAACUACGCCGUGAAAGAAUGGACUUGGCGAACGAACGAAGAAAGCUUGAGGUUGAUCGCAGAGAUUUUGAUGCUAGGUGCCCGGCAGCAGCAAAGGAAGAACAACAAAUCACUGAAGCACGAACGGUUACCAGUACCGACGACACAGACGAGAAAUUAGUUAUUGCUGUAAAUAACAACACAGAACAUCAUGAGGAAAAUGAACAAACUAAAUCUGAAUCACCUUUUGCAACAUGUCAUGUUGAAUGCCAGACAGAAGCUGAGGUGAAUUCAGUAGAGGAGCCUGGUGGAGAAGACAUCCAAACUGCUGAGACCAUCCCAGGAAAGGAUGAAGAAGAGAAACUGGAAAUGGAAAAUCAUCAGUUGUUGCAAUGCAGGUCUCAAAUACACACAGCAUCCAUUGGUAGAAAUCAGCGCAUUCUUACUGCUCCAGUGUCCAGAGCAAAAGCUCUGCUUCUUAAAAAACAGGAUCAUGCAUUAAGGAUACACAAGAUGCUACUUGAUGAUAUCUAUAAGACGAAAGAAGAAAACCAACUUCUCAAGGCUGAGAACUCUAUACUGUCAAAGAGAGCAAAUGAAGCCACCUCUGAGUUAUUUCGCCUAAAGAACAAAAUGACAGUAAACAUGUCUGAUAGGGAUGAGCUGUACAAGAAAUUGCAGAAAUCAAAGGAGCAGAUCCUAAAACUUGAACAAACGCUGAAAAGACAAGCUCUUGGUCUGGUAUCCAAUUUAAAGGAACAAAGACAACUAAAAGAGGAAAUGAGGUGGAGCCAGGUAAGUUGGUGAAACCCAAAAGUCUGCAUGUAAUCUGAGGCCACACAUGAAGGUAGCAAAGAGGACGGGGUGUGGAGAGGAAGCAGGCUGGAACAAGAGAGGUGGAAUGAUUGAAGGGGUAGGUUGAAAGUGGAUAUGGAUGCAUGGUGGACAGAGCAAAUGAAUAGAGGGAUAGGGAAGGGAGAGGAUGCACACAAAGAAGUGGGAUAAGAUCUUUGCUCUUCCUCUUAACCAACAUUCCAGUCAAACCAGAAGGAUUCCACGAGAAAGACCAUCUACUAGGGGGCGCUAAAUGUUUUGUCAGACCAUAUGACUAAUAUGUAAAACUGGGGAAAUUUUCAACAUUCCUAGCUUGUUCUCAGUCAUUGGAGAAAUUUAUCCAUUGCUUGACAUGUACAGAGAAAGUGAACUGAUACCAAGAUAACGCAUAAUUUACAACUGAGUUGAAAACCAUUCUCUGUUCAGUACUUCUUAAAAAUAUUUAUGUUAAACAACCUUUUGAAAAUGAUAUAAAGCAGUCUAAAUUUAAAAUUGUUCUUGAAAUUAUUUAUCUGAUUAAGUGUUAAAAAAAGAAAGGAAGGUUCAGAAAAGUUAAACUUGAAAUACUACAGACGAGGAGCUGAUGCUCGAAAUUUCAGCUUUUAAACUCUUUACAGUGGCCGAUUUAAGUUAUCAGCUCAGUUGAUAAUACUUAAUUACCCAGUUAUACUCUCCCCCAUGACACAGCACCACAGUUUCCUUAGAAGCUUAGCCCCUUAAUUCAUUUUUUGAAAGCUUUCUUACAAGAAAUGUAUACAUUUUAAUUGUAGUAUAUUUAUAUACAUUCAUUGGUUUAUUUAUUCAGAGAUGCAAUAUUGAUUAAAACUAAUUUAGGUUCCUUUUACUAAAGUGUGAAUUAUUUAUCAAGAUCCCAUGUAUUCUCCUGAAGACCUAUCUGCUUCUCAUCUUGAGGUGGGCUGAAA